CUGCUACAGGUUUAUGCGGAUCACAUUUCACCAUACAACGUUCAGAGUAGACAUGAAGUACUGUAAAUGAAAAGUUUCAAUUAAACAAUGUUCUUAUAUAAUAAUAAGUUAAAUACAUUAAAUCGUUAUAUUUAUUUCAAAUGCAGCGUUUGAGUCGACAAAUUAAUACAACAAAUCUCGACUGUUUGUAAAUGUAAUAAAGUCUUAUUGUUCUUACAGAAUCUUUCGAUUAUUCUUUGAUGUGCUCUGUAUAAGAGACACCGACCGCCCAAAAAUUUGUUUGAGCUUUUAAAUUUACAUCCGAUCAAUCGUAUGAUAAUAUGAGCAAAUAUCAGACAAUGGCGUUUACAGGUGGCACGUGCCGGUACGGGGUAAAAAAAAGGGUCCCAGAGGAGAAUGUCGAAAAGGGACGUUUCCAUCCACCGUCCGGUUUUUUACAACUCAGCCACUGCUAUCACCACCAUUUACAACUACAGAGAAAUCACACAAGAGAUUAAACGUCUACUCAUGUAAUUUGAUUCUAAACGAACAAGGGCAACUUUCAGACAAAAAAUAUGUUAAGACACUCAAAUGAUUAAGACCAAUAAUUAGUGAAAAAUCGUUUUGUUAACACCGUAUUUAUAUUAGUUAUUUAUCAUAUUAUUCGUAAAUAUAGUUAUAUUUAUGUUAAGUUAAACUUUUUUUUAGUCGUUCUAAAAGUCUUAUAGCCACUGUAAAUUAAUAUACUACGACGUUAUAUACAAAUUGAUAUUAUCAAGUAUAUUUCAUAUAAAAUAUUUAAUAUAAUAAGUUAAUUUAAUUAAUUUAUAAAUAUA